CAAUUUGUCGGAGGAAACAUUUGUUAUUGUUAUUUCUAUCAAAGGAAAAACCCAGUCCACUUCCAAGAACCCAGUCACCACGGAGACAGCGACUACGAGGACGAUUCCGCGAAAGACGUGAAGGAAGAGGAGGACGUGGACCAACCUGAGUGUCCGUAUGGCACAGACUGCUACAGGUAGGAUGCACACCACAGGAUAUAAGGGAUUGGUAAUCAUGUCUCAAGACCAUUUAUUGUCAGUAAUGGCAAACAUCAGAAAAAAGUAGCCUAAUAGCUCCUACAAUUUCAACAGGAAAAGAGAAUAUAACCUAUUAUUAUAGCCAGUUCUCCCCUGUAAGAGGUAUUAUGACCUCAAUGGAACUUUCUGGAUACAGGAAGGUUAAAUAAAACAGUAAGGCAGUAAUCAGGACUCAGAUGACAGGAGAGUGUCUGAGUGGACUCAAUUUGUUGGCCUCCAUUUUAACCUUGAGCAGUUGACAUCGGCAACCAAAGUGCUUGAGCAACAGGAGAGGCUGACAUUUUAGUCUCAUUGGCAUUUGGCAAUACUAGUAGCCCUUUGUAGUAAAUCAAGCAAUUUUCCAUGUUUUCUUUUCAGGAAAGGAAUACAAACUGGAAGGAAUACAAACACACCAAGAAGCGAUAAAGCCGGUAUCAUACAACAACGAUGAUGAUGAGUU